rnacentral:misc_RNA from 1 species
UUUCCGUAGGUGAACCUGCGGAAGGAUCAUUCAUAAUAAAGUGUUUUAUGGCACUUUUUAAAAAUCCAUAUCCACCUUGUGUGCAAUGUUAGAUCUCGUCAAUCUUGGCGAGAUUUUUAUACAUCAACUCAUUUUUUAACUAAUUUGUCUGAAAAACAUUAUGAAUACUUAAUUCAAAAUACAACUUUCAACAACGGAUCUCUUGGCUCUC